UAACGGCGAGUGAAGCGGGAAAAGCUCAAAUUUAAAAUCUCAUUAGAGAAUUGUAGUUUAUGAAAGCGUUUUCGAUGAAGGGCUGGGUACAAGUUCUCUGGAACGAGGCAUCAUAGAGGGUGAGAAUCCCGUCUUUGAUCUAGUAACCUUCACAAUACGAAGCGUCUUUUAAGAGUCGGGUUGUUUGGGAUUGCAGCCCUAAAUUGGUGGUAUAUUCCAUCUAAAGCUAAAUAUUGGCGAGAGACCGAUAGCGAACAAGUACCGUGAGGGAAAGAUGAAAAGAACUUUGAAAAGAGAGUUAAAAGUGCGUGAAAUUGCUAAAAGGGAAACGUUUAACGCCAGUGUUGGGUAUAGGAAAUCAGCCUUGGUAUUCCGGGGUGCACUUUCCUGUAUCCAGGUCAACAUCAGUUUUUUGUGCCGUAAAAAGAUUGGUAGAAGGUGAGUACAUUACUACUGUUAUAGCUCCAAUAAAUGCGGUAUAAAAGACUGAGGAACGCGGUACAUGUCAUUCCCAGUUGCCGUUCACUUAAGGGAUGAUGACAGCAUGCUGAUAUUAUUACUUGAGGGUG
rnacentral:rRNA from 1 species